CUGAUUUUGCCAAAGAUAGUCGAGUCUCUAUGAGAUUCCUUUCUGCGGUAAUAAACCACUGUGCACUAUGCUGUAUUUUGGGUGCUUGAGACUCUUUAUGGGGAUCGACACCCAGCAACAUAUGAACCAAUGAAAUUUUUUGUCUGAAAUCGAUUCUAAAUUGAAA
rnacentral:misc_RNA from 1 species